UACGAAGGGGGCUAGCGUUGUUCGGAAUCACUGGGCGUAAAGCGCACGUAGGCGGAUCUUUAAGUCAGGGGUGAAAUCCCGGGGCUCAACCCUGGAACUGCCUUUGAUACUGAGGAUCUUGAGUCCGGGAGAGGUGAGUGGAACUGCGAGUGUAGAGGUGAAAUUCGUAGAUAUUCGCAAGAACACCAGUGGCGAAGGCGGCUCACUGGCCCGGAACUGACGCUGAGGUGCGAAAGCGUGGGGAGCAAACAGG
rnacentral:rRNA from 1 species